rnacentral:rRNA from 1 species
CCUACGGGAGGCAGCAGUGGGGAAUAUUGGACAAUGGGCGAAAGCCUGAUCCAGCAAUGCCGCGUGAGUGAUGAAGGCCUUCGGGUCGUAAAGCUCUUUUACCAGGGAUGAUAAUGACAGUACCUGGAGAAUAAGCUCCGGCUAACUCCGUGCCAGCAGCCGCGGUAAUACGGAGGGAGCUAGCGUUGUUCGGAAUUACUGGGCGUAAAGAGUACGUAGGCGGUUAUUCAAGUCAGAGGUGAAAGCCCGGGGCUCAACCCCGGAACUGCCUUUGAAACUAGAUAACUAGAGUCUUGGAGAGGUUAGUGGAAUUCCGAGUGUAGAGGUGAAAUUCGUAGAUAUUCGGAAGAACACCAGUGGCGAAGGCGACUAACUGGACAAGUACUGACGCUGAGGUACGAAAGCGUGGGGAGCAAACAGGAUUAGAUACCCUGGUAGUCCACGCCGUAAACGAUGAUAACUAGUUGUUCGGUCACUUGGUGACUGAGUGACGCAGCUAACGCAUUAAGUUAUCCGCCUGGGGAGUACGGUCGCAAGAUUAAAACUUAAAGGAAAUUGACGGNNGAGAAGUGCGAGAGACACGAGGAGAG